rnacentral:rRNA from 1 species
UACGUAGGGUGCAAGCGUUAAUCGGAAUACUGGGCGUAAAGCGUGCGCAGGCGGUUUUGUAAGUCUGUCGUGAAAUCCCCCGGGCUCAACCUGGGAAUUGCGAUGGAGACUGCAAGGCUAGAAUCUGGCAGAGGGGGGGUAGAAUUCCACGUGUAGCAGUGAAAUGCGUAGAGAUGUGGAGGAACACCGAUGGCGAAGGCAGCCCCCCUGGGUCAAGAUUGA